rnacentral:rRNA from 1 species
UACAUGGGGUGCAAACGUUGCUCGGAAUUAUUGGGCGUAAAGCGCACGUAGGCGGCUUUCUAAGUCAGGGGUGAAAUCCUGGAGCUCAACUCCAGAACUGCCUUUGAUACUGGAAAGCUUGAGUUCGGGAGAGGUGAGUGGAACUGCGAGUGUAGAGGUGAAAUUCGUAGAUAUUCGCAAGAACACCAGUGGCGAAGGCGGCUCACUGGCCCGAUACUGACGCUGAGGUGCGAAAGCGUGGGGAGCAAACAGG